UUCAGACUGUCAGUCAAUUUUGGAAGCCUGAAGUGGGUUCAUUUUAAGUUUCCAUAUGUUAAGAUAUGUUCAGUGUUGCUGCUGUGGAAGUGUUGUGGUUGACUUUUUAUUGAUGCAGGUCUAAUCAUUCUUUAAGAGGUUCUCUAGACCAUGCGACUUUUUAAGUUCCUACCAUCUUUGAUGGGCUUGUAAGUUAGCAAAUGGGUGGACGUUAUGAUGCAGUGAGCUGACCAAUCAGCUGCCAGCUAUGUUCCGUUACAAUUACGCCUCUCGGUCUCUGCACCUUCUUUUGGCGCCUGUACCUGAGCGUAGGAGGCUGCGUUUUCCCCUCGAGAGUAAAUGAGAGCUGUGCCUGAAUCCACUGUUGUCACGGAGCUAAAGGCGGUGAAUUCUGCUAAAAUGGUCAGGUUUUGGUAAAGAGUUGGAAGCCUUGUGCAGCUGAGAUCCAUUCCACGGAGUGAUGCCAAUCUACACGUUCCAGACGUUUUUACAGAGCUUUGUGGAUUCCCAGUCUAGGUGGCUGGGUGGCGAGCCAACCGUGUUUGUGACUCUGACUUUAGACGGAUUGCCAGGAUCUUCCUCAUCUUCAUGGUGGUAGGACAAACACUAACACAAACUUAAAAGGGCCCCAACGGUGAGAAAUGAACUCUUGUCAAUAAAGGCAAGUGGAACUAAGGAUGAACUGAGCUCAACAAAGUUAAAAGGAAAGUUUUUUUUGUGCGCACUUUAUUAUUUUAGUUUGUUAUUUUUCAUACCUGCUUUCUUAUGUAUGUACCAUCCCUGUGUAUUUAAUACACUUAAUGCAAACUGUCAUUCGGGUGUGGUAUUCUUUUUAUUGACAUUCAAUUCUCAGGCUCUUAACAAUUUAGUGACUUCUGAUUCUGGUCCACAUUGAUGAUAAGACUACUUUAGACUAUUACACCUAUGUACAUUAUUACUACCUCGUGAUAAGGGUUACACCAUUCUUUCUCACCCUUCUCUGUCCUUUUUACUUGUGUCCUGUUUUUCAGGGUCCCAUCAUAAUUUCUUAAGAAGCUGCCAUGUUAAAAAAAAUAUUUUGUGC